rnacentral:rRNA from 1 species
CAGUAGCCGCGGGAAUCCGAAGGGUGCAAGCGUUACUCGGAAUUACUGGGCGUAAAGCGUGCGUAGGUGGUGGUUUAAGUCCGUUGUGAAAGCCCUGGGCUCAACCUGGGAAUUGCAGUGGAUACUGGGUCACUAGAGUGUGUCAGAGGAUGGUGGAAUUCCCGGUGUAGCGGUGAAAUGCGUAGAGAUCGGGAGGAACAUCAGUGGCGAAGGCGGCCAUCUGGGACAACACUGACGCUGAGGCACGAAAGCGAGGGGAGCAAACAGGAUUAGAUACCCGCGUAGUCCCUGUCUCUUAUAC